UUGUCGAAUCCUGCAAAGCAGACGACCGCGAACUUGUGUAAUUGCCGGGCGUCGGGGAACGGGGGAGACUAAAGCCUCCCCUAACUCCCCGGCGCYCCCCGCGCACCGCGCGGACAACAACUCAACCCCGGCGCGGAAAGCGCCAAGGAAAACUCAAAAGGAUUGCCCGCCUCCCCGUGCGCGGGGUGUGUUGUGGCGUCUGUCGUAACCAAAACGACUCUCGGCAACGGAUAUCUCGGCUCUCGCAUCGAUGAAGAACGUAGCGAAAUGCGAUACUUGGUGUGAAUUGCAGAAUCCCGUGAACCAUCGAGUCUUUGAACGCAAGUUGCGCCCGAAGCCAUUAGGCCGAGGGCACGCCUGCCUGGGCGUCACGCAUCGCGUCGCCACCCCCCUUUUGCGGGGCGGCGGAUACUGGCCUCCCGUCCCAAGAAGGCGCGGCUGGCCUAAAUUCGAGUCCUCGACGGGGGACGUCACGACAAGUGGUGGUUGAAUGCCUCAACUCGAUUCCUGUCGUGUUCAUUGGCCUCGUCGUAUCUCGGGCUCCUUGACCCUUCUUGCUUGCAUCUCGAUGCGAGCCUCGACCGCGACCCCA
rnacentral:rRNA from 1 species